GCUUCGGUGGUGGAACUGGUAGACACAGCAACUUUGGAAGUUGCCGCCUGGCAGGGCAUACGGGUUCAAGUCCCGUCCGAAGCA
rnacentral:tRNA from 1 species